GAUAUUAAAAAUAUAUAGUUACCAAGUUACAAAUAGCAAACAUUAGUUUCAAUGUAUAUGAAACCUUAAGAAGAGGAAGAAACAGAAAAAACACCUUUGUGGGCUCAUAAACCAAAAGGAGAUUUAAGAGAGUUUGGAGGGUGCUGGUCAUUGGAUAUGUGGGGUGCUGAUGAAUAGAAGUGUGGGGUGCUGAGUGGAUGUGUGGGGUGCCAGUGAGUGGAUGUGUUGUGUGUCUUUCUAAUCAUUUAGUAUCUUGAUUCAUGAGUUGAGAUAAAAUAAUCAAAGAUUUUCAUUGUAAAUGGGUAUUAAAAACUACUAGCUUGAGAGGUUCAAUAUAUAUAUAUGAAUGUAUAUGUUUUAUUAAUUGUUGCAUAUAUAUGUAUAUACUCCACAUAUGUGUUGUUCAACAAUAAAAAAAAACAAGCCAUGAGUUUGAAAGAGGACAAGGAGGUACAUAUAAGAGAAUUCAGAAAAAGAGAAUGGAAAGAGGAGAUGAUGUAAUUAUACAACCUCAAAAUAAAAGAUAUAAUUUAAAAGCAAGCUAAGUUUGUUAUAUAUAGUUGGUAAGAAAACUUGCAAGGAUAGAUUUUCUCCAGGAAGUAAAUGAAGGUAUUCUGUAGGAAUACAUAAAAUAAAGGUAUAGUUGGGGGUUGAUGUAUUCAGAAAAAAAAAGUGAGGUAUUUAAUAGUUCUUAAAGUGUGAGAUUUCUGUUUACCACCAUGAUAAGGAAAUAAUUUGCUGAAAUGUAGCAACUUUUACUGACUGUAAUACUGAAGCAACGUCACAGAGCUGAUGUCAUUACAGGCUGUCAUGCCAGGGUAAGACCAGAUGAAGACACAACCACAAGCUGAAUAAAAUCCAUAUAACAUGCAAUGCCCAGGGUAGCAGAAAACUCAAACACUUUUAAUGAUAGGAACUUAACUAUUCAAAGAGUUAAUCUAGUGACUAAAACAAGUUAAUCAUUAAGAAUUAUGUAAUGGACUGUGGCAGUGGUAGCAUACACUUUUAAUCCCAGCACUAGGGAGGCAGAGUCAGGCAGUUCUCUGUGAGUUUGAGGCCAACCUGUUCGACAAAGUGAGUUUCAGGACAGCUGGAGCAACACAGAGUAAAUCUGUAUUUUUUUUUAAAAGAACAAAAACCAAGCAAACAAAUCAUGUGGCAUAUGAAAAAAUGAUGGUGAAAGUACUUCUGUGUGUUUAUCUUAUUGAUUGUUUAAUAAAGUUCUCUUUGGCCAAUGAGACAGCAAGUUAGAUAGGACUAGGAGUCAAAGAGGAUUCUGGGAAAUGUAGUAGAGAGGUGGUGAUACAGGCAGGAAGUGACAUAGCAAGGAGACUCAUAUUUAAGCAAAGGAAACAGGAAGUGUCCCCUUUCCCCUCUGCUCUUCCUCCAGCGGAGCAAUGUGAUCCACCGGCAAGGAGGGACGCCAAUAAGGCGUCUGAUAAGACUUCUUCCAGAACCUCAAGUGAUUCCUGAUCUAGAACUUUGAUAUAAAUUCUAUGGAUCAACAGACAACUCACAGUAUCAUCAGAAGCACAACCUGCUUACAGGCCCAGAAUAUCUGACAGACUUUUCGGUAAAACAGAAUUCUGAUAACUUAAAAACAAACAUUGCCACAAAAGACCACCGCUCCCAAUACCAGCCUACAAUCCACACUGCCAGAGAAGCCAGUAAACAAGAAGGACACCAAGAGAGACAUACAUGGUCCCGUGGAGAAGGGGAAAAGGACAAGAUAUUCAGAGCAAAUUGGGAGCAUGGGGGGAGGGUAGAGGAAACUAGGAGAAUGAGAAAGGGGAGAAGAGGAGGGGUAAGGAAGACAUGAUGGGGCAGGUAGGUUGAGUUGGGGGAAGAAAAGAAGAGAGCAAGAUAAGAGAUAAUAUAAUAGAGGGAGACAUUAUAAGUUCAAAGAGAAAUCAGGCACUAGGGAAAUAUCUGGAGAGCUACAAAGAUGACACCAACUAACAAUCUAAGCAACAGAGGAGAGGCUACCUUAAAUACCCUCUCCUGAUAAUGAGAUUGAUGACUAAUUCAUAUUCCAUCAUAUAGCCUUCAUCCAGCAGCUGGUGGAAGUAGAAGCAGACACCCACAGCUAAACCUUGAACUGAACUGAAAUCCAUUUGCAGAGAAGGAGGACAGAUGAGCAUAGGGAUCCAUACCAGGCUGAUGAAACCCACAGAAACAGCUGACCAGAACAAGGGAGAGCUUUUUGUUUCCAGACUGAUAGCAGGAAUACCAGCAUGGGACUGAUCCAGACCCCCUGAAUGUGGGUGUCAGUGAUUCCUUGUAGUGGAUCAGUACUUAUCCCUAGCACAGGAAUGGACUCUGAGAGGGGGAGUGUAGUUAGAGGUAUGUGGUUAGUGGGUACAUAUGAUCAAUAUAUAUAGCAAUAAAGAAUAAGAGUUUCAAAGAAAAAGAUGUUAUGGG
rnacentral:lncRNA from 1 species